rnacentral:rRNA from 1 species
UACGUAGGGGGCAAGCGUUGUCCGGAUUUAUUGGGCGUAAAGCGCGUGUAGGCGGCCAGGUAGGUCCGCUGUGAAAACCCGAGGCUCAACCUCGGGACGUCGGCGGAAACCAUCUGGCUAGAGUCCGGAAGAGGAGAGUGGAAUUCCCGGUGUAGCGGUGAAAUGCGCAGAUAUCGGGAAGAACACCCGUGGCGAAGGCGGCAUCCUGGACCGGCAUUGACGCUGAGGCGCGAAAGCUAGGGGAGCAAACGGG